UGUUGACCUCGGAUCAGGUAGGAAUACCCGCUGAACUUAAGCAUAUCAAUAAGGCGGAGGAA
rnacentral:rRNA from 1 species